CUGUGGUGAAAGUGUCCUAUGCAAAAUGUUUCCUUGGGGGAAGAUACAAGUUCGGCAGUGUCAGAUCCACGUCUGAUUUAAUAGUUAUAAGUGCGAGCAUGGCGAGUGUGGGUUAAGGAUUAUUGAGUAGCUACUUAGCCUUUCAAGUUAUGAUCAGUUUCUUUUAACACAAUUUGGAAAUUGGUCUAAGGGAUAUCCUUACCCAUUUGUUUUAGUAUACUGACAAUGGAUGGCCAAGAAAAUGAGGAGUUGUCAAAUGAAAAUAAGGAAGAUGGAGAUGGACAUUUGAAUGCCUGUUCGCGCAAGGAACAGUAGCGUAGCGAGGGGCGGCACGGGGGGACACGUGCCCCCCAAAAUUUUUGAAAACAAAAAAUUUUGAAAAAAGAAUAACAACAAAAAAAACAUAUUAAACUGAAACGAAAGAGGAAAAUAAAAUAUUACAACCUA